AGCGAACGCUAGCGGCGGGCCUAACACAUGCAAGUCGAGCGGGGGAGCAAUCCCCAGCGGCGGACGGGUGAGUAACACGUAGGUUAUGUGCCCUUUGGUGGGGAAUAACCGUGGGAAACCAUGGCUAAUUCCGCAUAUCGAGCGAAAUCUUGAAAGCCUUCGGGCGCCAAAGGAGCAACCUGCGGCCCAUUAGCUUGUUGGUAGGGUAACGGCCUACCAAGGCGAUGAUGGGUAGCUGGUCUGAGAGGAUGAUCAGCCACACUGGAACUGAGACACGGUCCAGACUCCUACGGGAGGCAGCAGUAAGGAAUAUUGGGCAAUGGAGGCAACUCUGACCCAGCCAUGCCGCGUGAAGGAUGACGGCCCUAUGGUUGUAAACUUCUUUUAUACGGGAAUAAACCCGGGUACGUGUACCCGGCUGAAUGUACCGUAAGAAUAAGGAUCGGCUAACUCCGUGCCAGCAGCCGCGGUAAU
rnacentral:rRNA from 1 species